CCUACGGCCUCUCCGACCAUCACAGAACAUUCAUCAACUUUCAUUCACCAGCGAUGUCAACACUGGAGGCAAGGAGGGUGAAAGGGCUUGAUGCACAACU